rnacentral:rRNA from 1 species
UAGGGAAUAUUGCAAAAUGGGCGAAAGCCCGAUGCAGCAACGCCGCGUGGGCGAUGAAGGCCUUCGGGUCGUAAAGCCCUUUUUGAGGGGAUGAGGAAGGACAGUACCCUCAGAAUAAGCCUCGGCUAACUACGUGCCAGCAGCCGCGGUAACACGUAGGAGGCGAGCGUUAUCCGGAUUUACUGGGCGUAAAGCGCGUGCAGGCGGAUUGGAGAGUUGGAUGUGAAAGCUCCCGGCUUAACUGGGAGAGGUCGUUCAAUACUUCCAGUCUUGAGUGCAGUAGAGGGAAGUGGAAUUCCGGGUGUAGUGGUGAAAUGCGUAGAUAUCCGGAGGAACACCAGUGGCGAAAGCGGCUUCCUGGACUGUAACUGACGCUCAGACGCGAAAGCUAGGGUAGCAAACG